CGGCCAUUGCACGAGAUUCAUCGAUAUAUGAAUAGUUUUUAUUAUCCGUUCUGUGCAAAAGAAGGGUUUUUUUCCAGUAAAAAAAGAAGAAAUAUAAGAGGAAAAAGGAGUAGUUCCAUCUGGACGAAUUUAAUUAUCUGUUUACGGUGUUGAUAUUUUCGUAAUGUAAUUGUUGGCAAAAAAUAAAUGAGCUCAAAUAACAACAACAACAACAACUCCUCCUACCUGGAGGUGAGCGGCCAGGAGGCAAGUGACAUCUUGGCUGCUGCUUUACAACAGAUGGACGGAAUUAUUGCAGGCACAAAGUUUGACAGCAGUAGUGGUAGUAAUGGGUUUGGAUCUUUAACAUCAACUCCGGAGAACACUUUAAAACAUCGUAGUAACGUAACUGAAGCACGUAUCAUAAAACUUGUAGACGAUUUAAAAUUGGCAUUAGAACUGUGUGACAAUAAGCAACAGAUUAUACGCAAACUUCCUGACGAUGUCCUCACUGCUGUUGUUGCCUGGUUACAAAGUGGGAAAGAAGAGGCCAGCAGGGGAAAUAAAAGAUCAUUUACUUCAAUAUUCACUUGGAAAGGCUGGUACAUGUAGCUAGAAAAAAGUACAGUAUAAGAUUAAAGAAAGACUAGAAGAUUAUUACAAACAACAGGUGGACAUGUGUCACUGUCAAGCAAAUGAAGAUUAGCAUCACAUUCGGUGGGAAUCUCCAGUUUCCAGAUGUAGUGAUCAUAACUGCAUAGGCACCAUGAACACUUUGGCCUAGUUGGAGUAUUUUAGAGGGCUUAGGUCUGAGUUGAAUCCCCUGUCAAUAGUAAAGGCCAGUAAUGAACAUUGUGUUGAAGGAAAAUGUUAAAACUCGGAUUUCCCGCUAAACCAAUCAUUACUUUACCUUAUAUUCAGUGCGGUAAUGUAGGAAAUGGUUACUUUCUGGAACGGAGCUGUCAAUAAUUUUUAUUUUUUUAGCUUGUUAGCGUUAUUGUCGGACAGUUGAGAAGUAAAGACUUCGCAGUUUGACUGUAUACAAGUUUGCCUUAAAGAAAGUAUGUGGAAAUUUUAACAGUUAUUCUUUGAUUUUGUAGAAAUUGACCAGAAUUCAACUUUGUUUACACGCAUCGCUUGGACGUCGAAAACGACAUGCAAUGACAUUUCAGUGAAAUUUGGAAACUUGCUCGUAUUUUGGAGCAUUUUGAAGGAUUUCGAUGAAGUAAAAAGUGUUUAUGAUAGGAUACAUUAUUCCUAGAGACAACCACAAAGAUAAAAUAGUGAUCUGGUGUAUUUUUACAGAACAGUUCUUGUUUGCUUUGCAUGAUAGUUUUCUCUCAUUAGGGACCUUUAUUCUUUAUAUAUAGUAUUAUGAGCGUAUAUGGGUAAAUUAAUUGUGUCUAGUGCCUGUGGUUUUAACAUGUAUCUUAGCUUGCCUGGUUUAAUGAAAAGUAAUAAACCUGAGAAUUGAAACUAUGAGAAUAAAUUGUUGUUAUUAGUCCCCUUCUGUUUUCAAUAAGAGGGGACUAAAGGCUGAUCUCUUUCUGUAUGUCAAUGAAAUCUGAAUUUUGAUAUUACUCAAAAGGUACGAAAGCAAGGUUCAUCAUACUGGUAUCUGAUAUAGAACUAUACUGAGAUUAAGCAUGUUAUUAUAAUUCAUGCUCCUGAAAGGGAGAGAAUAUAGUUGCGGUCUUUACCAUCUGUUGGUAUGGACUCAAGUAAUAUUAUUGAUAAAUAUCCGUGUUCAUUCCAUACAGACUUGUACUUAAAGGAAAAAAGGUUGCUCAUGGGAGGAAAAUAUGUUUUUUAUGGUGUUUUUGAGAUUUUAUAAGAUUAAGGGGAAAAAAAACACGGUCUGACCUUAGGAAGACAAUCAACCUUCACACACUUGUCCGGAAUAUGAAUAUAACUAGAUAUGUAUUGAAGGGAUUUUAUGUAAACUUCACAAAGUGAUAGAGACUUUUAAGAGGAAGUGCAAUGUUCAAGAAACAUAACUCUACCUUGCUUCAUGUUUUAAUUAUCUCCCUUAAGUUAAAAAUGCUUAUUCCAAACUAUCACUGAAUCUACAUCUACUUGAACGACUCGAAUUUGCCAAAGUGUCAAAGAACCAUAACUCCAUUCCUUAGAUUUUAGCUCGACUAUACGAAGUAUAUGGAGAGCUGUCCUACUCGCCCCUGCGUCCGCGUCCAGAUUUUAGAUUAAAGUUUUGGUGCAGUAAAAUAUUUUUCACUAUAACUUUCUCAUUUCUUAAGGUAUCAACUUUAAACUUCAAAUAUAUGUUCCUUAUCAUCAACCACAUCUUAUGUGACAAGGUUCAUGACUCUAGCACCAAUAUUUUCAGAUUUAUCUCCCCUUGAACUUAGAAUUUUCCUUAAAAAAUACUAUUUUUUACUGUUACUUCUUUAUUUCUUAAGGGAUCAACCUCAUACUUCAAAUAUAUGUACCUUAUCAUCAUCCCCAUCUUAUGUGACAAGGUUCAUAACUCUAGCACCAAUAUUUUAAGAUUUAUCUCCCCUUGAAGUUAGAAUUUUCCUAAAUAAGUACUAUUUCUUACUGUUUCUUCUUUAUUUCUUAAGGGAUCAACCACAUACUUCAAAUAUAUUUACGUUAUCAUCAUCCCCAUCUUAUGUGACAAAGUUCAUAACUCUAGCACCAAUAUUUUCAGAUUUAUCUCCCUUUGAACUUAGAAUUUUCCAUAAAAAAUAUUAUUUUUUACUGUUACUUAUUUAUUUCUAAAGGGAUCAACUUCAUACUUCAAAUAUAUUUACGUUAUCAUCAUCCACAUCUUAUGUGACAAGGUUCAUAACUCUAGCACCAAUAUUGCAAGAAUUUUCUCCCCAUAAACUUAGAUUUUUAUGCCCCCACAUAGUGGGAGCAUAUAGCGUUGCACUUGUCCGUCCGUCUGUCCGUCCGUACGUCUGUCUGUCCGUCCGUCCGUCUGUCCGUACGUCCCGAAAUCUUGUGAACGCAACUCCUCUUAAACCGGAUGGCAGAUUUUGCUUAAACUUCCAGGGAUGAACAACCUUUAUGUGUAGAUGGUAGUAAAGGAAGGAAUUUUCGCUGUGACAAAAUUUAACAGAAUUAUGGCCCUUUGUUGAUUUUUUCACUAUAUACUAUGUAGAAAUUUUGUGAACGCAACUCCUCUUAAACCGGAUGGCAGAUUUUGCUUAAACUUCCAGGGAUGAACAACCUUAAUGUGCAGAUGGUAGUAAAGGAAGGAAUUUUUGCUGCGACCAAAUUUAACAGAAUUAUGGCCCUUUGUUGACUUUUUCACUAUAUACUAUAUAGAAAUUUUGUGAACGCAACUCCUCUUAAACCGGAUGGCAGAUUUUGCUUAAACUUCCAGGGAUGAACAACCUUAAUGUGUAGAUGGUAGUAAAGGAAGGAAUUUUCGCUGUGACAAAAUUUAACAGAAUUAUGGCCCUUUGUUGAUUUUUUCACUAUAUACUAUGUAGAAAUUUUGUGAACGCAACUCCUCUUAAACCGGAUGGCAGAUUUUGCUUAAACUUCCAGGGAUGAACAACCUUAAUGUGCAGAUGGUAGUAAAGGAAGGAAUUUUUGCUGCGACCAAAUUUAACAGAAUUAUGGCCCUUUGUUGACUUUUUCACUUUAUACUAUAUAGAAAUUUUGUGAACGCAACUCCUCUUAAACCGGAUGGCAGAUUUUGCUUAAACUUCCAGGGAUGAACAACCUUAAUGUGUAGAUGGUAGUAAAGGAAGGAAUUUUUGCUGCGACCAAAUUUAAGAGAGAAUUAUGGCCCUUUAUUGAUUUUUUCACUAUAUACCAUAUAGAAAUUUUGUGAACGCAACUCCUCUUAUAACGGAUGGCAAAAUGUUGCUUAAACUUCCAGGGAUGAACAACCUUUAUGUGUAGAUGGCAGUAACGGAAGGAAUUUUUUGCUGUGACCAAAUUUAACAGAAUUAUGGCCCUUUGUUGAUUUUUUCACUAUAUACCAUAUAGAAAUUUGUGAACGCAACUCCUCUUAAACCGGAUGGCAGAUUUUGCUUAAACUUCCAGGGAUGAACAACCUUAAUGUGUAGAUGGUAGUAAAGGAAGGAAUUUUUGCUGCGACCAAAUUUAACAGAAUUAUGGCCCUUUGUUGAUUUUUUCACUAUAUACCAUAUAUAUGUUGUCAGUGGGGGCAUCCGUGUCCUUUGGACACAGUUCUAGUUUUACUAGA